CCCACCUCUCCCCUCCUCUCAGCUCCCUUACCUGCAAAAUGCAACAGAUACAUAAAAGUUGGCUUUAAGAGCAAACUAUGGUUGGCUAUCCUCAUGGAAUAAUCUCCUGUCCCUCCCUCAAACCUGGAUGGAGGGGACCAUCAUGGCCCAGGGACAUUUCCUGGGGUGAAGCAGCCCUGAGGGAAGUCAGGCGGGCCUCCAUGGGGCAUCCAGGUCCACUGCAGUCACUUCUGCUUGAGGCAAACCGAGAAGUUCACCAGUAGUCCAGCUGCAGGACUCUCAGACUGUGGGAACUCGACCUUCAUUUCUUCAUCUGUGAAACGGAGCCAGCACUCCUAGAGCUGAUGUGAGAUUCAACAGGAAAGGCAUGGAUAGUGCAAGCACAGCGCCUGCCACAUGCUCAGCCCCCAUCCACAGAGGCUCUUUGCUGAGGAACCAAGCAGGACAGAGGGCCAGCUCUCCGUUGCAGACUUCUCUGAGUCGCCAAGACACUGGUUUUCUGAUAAAAGUCUUCCAUUUGGAGAGAAAAAAAUCUGUUGUCAGGUGGAGAUAAGCCAAGGUAGCAAAGGGCAGCGUGCUCUCAGCCCUUCCCACGAACUUCUGCAUCCACCUUAUGGCAGUGACCACCAAGGCUGGGCCUCCUCCUGUGGGCCCCCAGAACUAAAGGCAGUAUAUCUGGGCCCAGAGGGUGUAUGUGAUCAUUGCAGAGACGCACAGCUUGUGGCUGCAUCUGCACAGAUGUGAACAACUGGAUCUUGUUCACACUUGGAUAGAGGAUGGUUCCUGAGUAAGCAAGUGAGUAAGACCCCACCCAUCCCAUCUUCCCACCCUCAGGACGACUGUCUGAGAUAAGGAUGACUGUCACUAAUUGACAGAAGAAGGAAUGGAAGCUCAGAGGGUGAGGUCAGCAGGUUAAGCAGGGGCAGAGCCUGGAUGUGGAGGCAGGUGUGUCUGAGGGCUUCCUCCCAGCCGAGGGACCCUAAACAGAGCAGAGGGAGGGCCAUACCUGCUCAGGUGGGCUCAGCUCAGGAUGUGGACUCCUGACACAUAAGCAGCAACCCCAGAAGGAAGGUGUAUGUUCCGCAUACUCAGCCA
rnacentral:lncRNA from 1 species